rnacentral:rRNA from 1 species
AUACGUAGGGGGCGAGCGUUGUCCGGAAUGAUUGGGCGUAAAGGGCGCGUAGGCGGCCCGGUAAGUCUGGAGUGAAAGUCCUGUUUUUAAGAUGGGAAUUGCUUUGGAUACUGUCGGGCUUGAGUGCAGGAGAGGUAAGUGGAAUUCCCAGUGUAGCGGUGAAAUGCGUAGAGAUUGGGAGGAACACCAGUGGCUAAGGCGACUUACUGGACUGUAACUGACGCUGAGGCGCGAAAGUGUGGGGAGCAAACAGGAGUAGAUACCCUGGUACUCCUCACUGUAAACGAUGAAUGCUAGGUGUAGGGGGUAUCGACUCCCUCUGUGCCGCAGUUAACACAAUAAGUAUACCGCCUGGGGAGUACGGCCGCAAGGUUGAAACUCAAAGGAAUUGACGGUG